rnacentral:rRNA from 1 species
CUGUGAGGCAUGCUGGAGGUAUCAGAAGUGCGAAUGCUGACAUAAGUAACGAUAAAGCGGGUGAAAAGCCCGCUCGCCGGAAGACCAAGGGUUCCUGUCCAACGUUAAUCGGGGCAGGGUGAGUCGACCCCUAAGGCGAGGCCGAAAGGCGUAGUCGAUGGGAAACAGGUUAAUAUUCCUGUACUUGGUGUUACUGCGAAGGGGGGACGGAGAAGGCUAUGUUGGCCGGGCGACGGUUGUCCCGGUUUAAGCGUGUAGGCUGGUUUUCCAGGCAAAUCCGGAAAAUCAAGGCUGAGGCGUGAUGACGAGGCACUACGGUGCUGAAGCAACAAAUGCCCUGCUUCCAGGAAAAGCCUCUAAGCAUCAGGUAACAUCAAAUCGUACCCCAAACCGACACAGGUGGUCAGGUAGAGAAUACCAAGGCGCUUGAGAGAACUCGGGUGAAGGAACUAGGCAAAAUGGUGCCGUAACUUCGGGAGAAGGCACGC